AUUUUUUAUUGCCAGUUUUUUAAUUAUGCACAUUUCCAUGGCAGACGCCACCAUGCUUUAUUUAUAUUUUGGUCGCGUUGUCAAAAAAUAGGCAAAAAUGCUAUAAAAUGGAAAAGAUAGCAAUGGGGUAAGCCGAUACUCUUUAUAUUUGUCUUCAUUUGCAUGAAAGGCACAAAGGCGACCACAAAAACACAUGCAAAUAAACUCACACAUGAGCUUAAAUAUGUAUGGGAAUACGUGUAAGAGCCACAGACAAAUCCCCAGGCGCAACAGGACGACACUGAAACCAAAAUCCAAUGCGUCACACCAGAAGCAGAAACAGAAGCAGCCAACCUGAACAAAAACAAAUUAGGCUUAAUGGAAUAUGUAUUAAAUUAAAUUGUUUUAUAAAAAAAAUGAAUGAAAAAACCUUGAGUCGUGUAGAAUGGGGUUGAGCAGGAAGCCACCA
rnacentral:lncRNA from 1 species